GCUCCUACCGAUUGAAUAAAGAGGUGAAAUCUCAGGAUUUUGGUGGCUUGCCAUUGGGAGAAUGAGAGUAAAUCUCUUUGUUUAGAGGAAGGAGAAGUCGUAA
rnacentral:rRNA from 1 species